rnacentral:lncRNA from 1 species
GCUUUAGCCUUAGGUGGGGGAGUUUUCCAUUUCCCUUUCAGCUUAUAUUAAAUUACUUUCCUUUCUUGUCAUAGGCAUAAUCCUUUGAUGGGAAAACCUUGACGGCCUUUCAGAAGAGGAAGAAAGCCCUCCUCUGCAGAGUCACCAGGGACUGGCUAUUACUAAUUGAUUCUACAUGGAGAACACACAGUGGUGACAGCCAUCAGUCUGAAACAAUGCAGGCCUCUGUCCCUUGUGCCCUGGCCUAUAUGGAAGGAUGAUCUGGUGAGCACAGCCACAAUGAACCUAUAGAGACUCUGAGCCCCAACCCAGCCACACACUGCCUCUUCCCAAUGGGCUGGUAUGGCUUCCACUGAUCUCAGCUACUGAGAGUUCUUGUUCUCUUUUAGCAGCAACAAAAAAAUAAAUGUAGAAAGCAUUCACA